CAGUAGCCGCGGUAAUACGAAGGGUGCAAGCGUUAAUCGGAAUUACUGGGCGUAAAGCGUGCGUAGGCGGUUUGUUAAGUCUGCUGUGAAAUCCCCGGGCUCAACCUGGGAAUGGCAGUGGAUACUGGCAAGCUAGAGUGUGUCAGAGGAUGGUGGAAUUCCCGGUGUAGCGGUGAAAUGCGUAGAGAUCGGGAGGAACAUCAGUGGCGAAGGCGGCCAUCUGGGACAACACUGACGCUGAGGCACGAAAGCGUGGGGAGCAAACAGGAUUAGAUACCCCUGUAGUCCCUGUCUCUUAUAA
rnacentral:rRNA from 1 species